CAGUCGCCACGGGAAUACGAAGGGGGCUAGCGUUGUUCGGAAUUACUGGGCGUAAAGGGCGCGUAGGCGGCGAUCAAAGUCAGGCGUGAAAUUCCUGGGCUCAACCUGGGGGCUGCGUUUGACACUUGAUUGCUAAAGUGGGGAAGAGGGUCGUGGAAUUCCCAGUGUAGAGGUGAAAUGCGUAGAGAUGUGGAGGAAUACCGAUGGCGAAGGCAGCCCCCUGGGCCAAUACUGACGCUCAUGCACGAAAGCGUGGGGAGCAAACAGGAUUAGAUACCCCUGUAGUCCCUGUCUCUUAUAC
rnacentral:rRNA from 1 species